UCUAAAAAGGCAUCCUCUAGCAUUUUAGAGUAACAUCAUCUAACAGGACACAUCUGUACCUUCCUUGUGCCUCUUAAAGCUUUCACUGAUCCCAGGUCAAGGUUCAACAUUUCAAAGG
rnacentral:lncRNA from 1 species